AGGUUUCUGUCUCUCUCUGUCUCUCUCUCUCUCUCUCUCUCUCUAUAUAUAUAUAUAUAUAUAUAUAUAUAUAUAUAUAUAGAGAGAGAGAGAGAGAGAGAGAGAGAGAGUGUAUAUAUAU
rnacentral:miRNA from 1 species